UCCCAGAACUUUGCACAUAACUCCCUAUGUCAGAGUGGGCAGAAAGGACCGGCUGCUACAAACACCGUGUCUUUAUCUACCCGAAACUUUGUUCUCAGCUUCCUUCUCCCCUGACAUUCUCAGUACCUCUCUAUUCAUGAAAUCCUACCCAUUUAUUAAGGACCAGCUAAAGAAGAACAUCCUUCAUGAAACUUUUCUUGGAUCUCUUUUCUCCUCAACAGAAUCUAACUUCCUUGAGAUGAGAGACCAUGUCUUAAGUUUUUCCCUCUUCUGAGCCCACAUGACUUGGACAAGAGGUCACCUGUUUGCAGAAAGAGUCCCACUGGCUUGAAAACAGUGAUCUACUAACAAGAGCCAUUGGCUGGAUGUUAGAGAACCUGAAUCCUCCAGUCACUUCUUUGGACUAAUCACUGACAUUUUUGCAUUUUGGAUUGCCUUUGGCAGAUGAUGCUGGAAAGUGGCUGUCCCCCAAAGGCUACACUUCCUAGUAAGAAAUAAGCAGAAGUGAUGUGUGUCACUUCCAGUCUAAGUAGGACCCUCCUCCUCUUCAUUCCUUUUCCACUGGCUUGAUGUAGAGAAACAGUGGUCUUAGAAGCCACAUGUUGAAGACACUGGGUCCGUCACAUGGGAAGAGUCAGGGUUCCUGGUUUAAUGGCUGCAGGAAAGCAGCCUGCCAAUCAACAAUGUCCAUGCUGAACUUCACAUGAGUGCAAAAUAAAAUUCUAUUUUGUUUAAACCAUUAUCUAUUUUGGGCUUUGUUACAGCAGCUAGUAUUAUCCUAACUAGUAUGUUUGGAGAGAAGUCUACCAGUCUUGAAAAAGUUAAUUAUCAAUCCAUUAAAUGUCAAAAUGUCAGAAGCACUAAGUAAAUGCAUGUGGCAAUAUUUUCUUGUUUACCUAGUGCUUAUAUUCAAAGAACAUUAGGUUACGCUUACAUAAUAGGUUGGUGGUUCAAACCAUUCAUAAAUUUAAGUGCUGUGGGUUCCAGAGUAUGUGAGAAUAACAACAGAGACUGUCUUAGAAUCUUUAAGGUGCUUAUUGAGUAGGAAUUCAGUUAUGGGGAAAGGAAGGGCUUAGAGGAGACGAUCAUUUAUCAUUAUGACAAAUACCA